GAUGAACGCUGGCGGCGUGCCUAAUACAUGCAAGUCGAGCGAACAGACGAGGAGCUUGCUCCUCUGACGUUAGCGGCGGACGGGUGAGUAACACGUGGAUAACCUACCUAUAAGACUGGGAUAACUUCGGGAAACCGGAGCUAAUACCGGAUAAUAUAUUGAACCGCAUGGUUCAAUAGUGAAAGACGGUUUUGCUGUCACUUAUAGAUGGAUCCGCGCCGCAUUAGCUAGUUGGUAAGGUAACGGCUUACCAAGGCAACGAUGCGUAGCCGACCUGAGAGGGUGAUCGGCCACACUGGAACUGAGACACGGUCCAGACUCCUACGGGAGGCAGCAGUAGGGAAUCUUCCGCAAUGGGCGAAAGCCUGACGGAGCAACGCCGCGGGAGUGAUGAAGGUCUUCGGAUCGUAAAACUCUGUUAUUAGGGAAGAACAAAUGUGUAAGUAACUAUGCACGUCUUGACGGUACCGAAGCAGAAAGCCACGGCUAACUACGU
rnacentral:rRNA from 1 species